GAUGAACGCUAGCGGCAGGCUUAAUACAUGCAAGUCGAGGGGCAGCGCAGUGUAGCAAUACAUGGGCGGCGACCGGCAAACGGGUGCGGAACACGUACAGAACCUUCCUUCGAGCGGGGAAUAGCCCAGAGAAAUUUGGAUUAAUACCCCAUAGUAUAUUAGAGUGGCAUCACUUUAAUUAUUAAAGAUUUAUCACUUGAGAUGGCUGUGCGGCUGAUUAGGAGGUUGGCGGGGUAACGGCCCACCCAAGCCAGCGAUCAGUAACUGGUGUGAGAGCACGACCAGUCACACGGGCGACUGAG
rnacentral:rRNA from 1 species